GACGAACCGUGCAAACGUUGUUCGGAAUCACUGGGCUUAAAGGGCGCGUAGGCGGGCAGUCAAGUCCGGGGUGAAAUCUUUCGGCUUAACCGGAAAAGGGCCUUGGAUACUGGCUGUCUGGAGGGAGGUAGGGGCAUGCGGAACUUCCGGUGGAGCGGUGAAAUGCGUUGAUAUCGGAAGGAACGCCGGUGGCGAAGUCGGUGUUCUGGGCCUGUACUGACGCUGAUGCGCGAAAGCGUGGGGAGCGAACAGG
rnacentral:rRNA from 1 species